rnacentral:rRNA from 1 species
UAAAGUGUUCUUGCAAGAAGAUGGGUCCAUGUAGGAUUAGGUUGUUGGUAAGGUUGUGGCUUACCAAGCCGAUGAUCCUUAGUUGGUCUGAGAGGAUGGUCAACCACACUGGAACUGUGACAAGGUCCAGACUCUUUUUGGAGGCAGCAGUAGGGAAUAUUGGACAAUGUGAGAAAUCAUGAUCCAGCAAUGUCACGUGAGUGAUUGAAGCUCGUUUUGGGUGUAAAGCUCUUUCGUCAAGAACGAUGUUGACGGUACUUGAAUAAGAAGUCCCGGCUAACUCUGUGCCAACAGCCGCGGUAAUACAGAGGGGGCAAGCGUUAUUCUUCAUUACUGGGCGUACAGGGUAGGUAGGCGGAAAGGAUAGUUCGGUGUAAAAAACUGCGUGGCGUAGUGUGCAUCUGAAAACUUUUUUUCUUGAGUCUAGCAGAGGAUAGCAGAAUUCUUGAUGUAACGUUAAUAUGUUUAGAUAUCAGGAGGAAUUCCAUGUGCGAAGGCGGCUGUCUAUGUUAGCACUGACGUUGAUCUACGAAAGCAUGGGGAUCAAACGGGAUUAGAGACCCCAGUAGUCCAUGCUGUAAAUGAUGAGUAUUAGACAUAUUUUGUCUAAGUUAACACGUUAAAUACUCCGCCUGGGGAGUACGAUCGCAAGAUUGAAACUCAAAGGAAUUGACGGGAAUCUACACAAGCGGUGGAGCAUGUGGUUUAAUGCGACGAUACGCGCAAAAUCUUACCAACCCUUGUAUGUUUGUAAACGCGUUUUUCGGUUAUGCGUAAGACGUUCUCAAACACAGGUGUUGCAUGGUUGUCGUCAGCUCGUGUUGUGAAAUGUUAGGUUAGGUCCUUGAACGAGCGCAACCCCUAUUUUCAGUUGUAGUGUUUUCUGGAAACAUUUUUCUGGAAAAACUGCUUGUGAAUAACAAGAGGAAGGUGGGGCAGACGUCAAAUCCGCACGACCCUUAUGGGUUGGGCUACACAUGUGCUACAAUGAUAAUUACAAUGGAUUAGUGUUUUGUAAAUUACACUGUAUCUUCUAAAAAUUAUCCAAGUUCGGAUUAUUCACUGAAACUCGUGAAUAUGAAGUUGUAAUCGCUAGUAAUCGUAGAUUAGUACGCUACGGUGAAU